UACGUAGGGUGCAAGCGUUAAUCGGAAUUACUGGGCGUAAAGCGUGCGCAGGCGGUUAUAUAAGACAGUUGUGAAAUCCCCGGGCUCAACCUGGGAACUGCAUCUGUGACUGUAUAGCUAGAGUACGGUAGAGGGGGAUGGAAUUCCGCGUGUAGCAGUGAAAUGCGUAGAUAUGCGGAGGAACACCGAUGGCGAAGGCAAUCCCCCUGGACCUGUACUGACGCUCAUGCACGAAAGGCGUGGGGAGCAAACAGG
rnacentral:rRNA from 1 species